UCUAUACCGACAACCGGGCCCCCUUUUGCUUUGUUAGUAUUGGCCAAGAGCUACAGAAAGCAAGCCACUCUGCCUGUCUCCCAUUGGUGGAACCUUCCUACACCGCCCAGCUACGAUGACGUCACCUUUCCCCAGGCCAGCGAGCCCUGAAUGGCUGGUGGUCAGCGGCUCGGCUACUCCUCGCGGGAUCUGGCAUGGGCCGUCAGGGCUGACCCGGGCGCAGACCGGCGCUGAUUCACCGGCUGCCGCCGGGCUCGGCUCCACCCGACCCCACCUCGGACCUGUUGCCGGGACCUGUCUCUGGGGAAAAGUUCCGGGGACCUGCUGGGCGUCCCUCGAGUGGAAGCUGGCACCGCGCGUCACCUGGGCGCUCUGCCCCGCUCGGGUUCGGGGCUGGAUCCCUGGGCCUGCCGGCCGAGACCCGGAGGUUACAGGCUUCCCGAGGUCGAGGGCCCAGCCGCGAAAUCUCUCCGAAGGGAGAGCGGCAGACAGCCCGACGGUAGGGCGGUGGGCCUGGGGCUCCGCCGAGCGCCACGUGGCUGAGGGGCUCGGGGGAAAAGCCUGUCUCCUGUCCAGUGUUCGCCGCCGCCCAGCGUUUUUUUCUCUCCUCAGAAAGCGCUGGAGUAGGGAGGCUGUAUACAGAGCUGAGCUCUCCAAAGGCACUAGGCACUAACCCCGCCCCAAGUGCUGGCGAAUUACUCCCUCACGCGACUGGGUUUUAAAAGCUCAGAAACUUCCUGUACCUACAGAUUGGCGUUGAAUUCUGAGAUUCUUUGACAUAAAUCUCUUUCGGGGUCUUUCCUUCCCUUUUAAUUCUAGAGGAGAACACUCAAAAAGAAUCCUUCCUUUUCAAGACGGCUAUGAAUGGUGUUUGUGUGGUACCAAUAUAAAUGUACAUAGACAGAACUAAAAACUUUAUUUAGGAAUUGUUCCCUAAGCUAUCUCAAGACCCAAGUUACUCUGUUAAUAUACUGACAUCUUCAUUUUAAGAAACGGAAAUAAAACUCUUCGUAAAUUGAGAGUCCUGAAUAUAGAAAUGAGUAAAGCAUGAACAUAUUUAACAAAGCUUUUUAGAAAAGUUUAUUGUUGCCAAUAUGUGAAAACAAUAGCCUGUCAGGUAACUUACCUACAUUAUUGCUAAUCCUCAAUAUAACCCCAUUAGAUAGGUUAAUUAUCUACAUUUUGCACAUGAGGAAACUGAUGCCCAAGAAGCUAAAUGACUUUCCUAGACAUCCAUUCAGCCAGAAAUGGAAACUGAACCUAGAUCUGUUUCACUCAGAGCCCAUGGUGUCAAUGCUCCAGUUGGUAGCUGUUCUAAAAACAAGACAACUAAGAGACGGAUUUCCAUAUGAGUCACAAACAAUGACACUCAAACACUGGGGAAAAACAAAGAAACACAUUACGAUGUGGUGGAAGACAAGAUCAGUAAGCCAGCAAUACCAACCAGGAAUUAGUAUCAUGAAGAACUCCAAAGGGCAUUUGGUGCCAUCUACUGGACAUCAAGCAGUAAGUAUAAAACAAAGGGUUUUUUCUUGUUUUUCUGGAAAUUAUUUUACACAAAUACAUUACAAUGACCAGUUAAAUAAGAUAAUCUGAAAGUACACAUUUUGAAAAAAGAAAUGAAAUCCUAAAACAAAGUAGAAGUGGUGACUCCCAGCAUCUAGCACUUCAAAGGCAUUACAUAAGCACUGACAGAUAGGCACAACCCCCAAAAUAAGAAUUCGAAAUUCCAGAAUGUUUGAACCUGAAUUUUAUGACCAGAAUUUUAAAUAAAAAGCUAUCUGUAAUAAGAUAAACGUAGGCUGACAAUGGUUUAUAUCUUUGAUCAGGCAUCAAGCUAAACUAAUAGAACUGGGGAGUAAAAGAAAAAAUUGAAAAUGGGAACCACAAAAGAUUAUACUUGUCAGAUAAUCUUUACUACAUAUUUUAGAAAGCCCCAGUUUCCUUCCUCUGAGGGGUUUAUACUCCAGGUGGGUAUAGGACAGUAUGUAAAUGCCGGUGCUGAGGGGAAGGUUCAUUAAAUGCAACAGGAGCUCUGCCAGAGAGGUGCAUUUCAGUGAGUACCUCAGAGUGGCAGGGAAGACAACUGUUGAUAUUAUAUAACUGUCUAAAAAGUUCCAAAACUGCUGAAUUAAAAAACACUAUUUAUAACUGAGUUUGACAUAGUUAACCACUAUGACAUUAAAAUGAAUUCUGUUUUAUAAGUUUUUGAGGAAUUGAUUUUAUUCUUCGAAGUGUAAAAAUCAGAACUGUAAUUUUCUGCUUUAAUAUCAGUCCCUUUCUUUGUGGCUACUUUGGACACUCAAA